rnacentral:rRNA from 1 species
UACAGAGGGUGCAAGCGUUAAUCGGAAUGACUGGGCGUAAAGGGUGCGUAGGUGGCGAUAUAAGUUAGUUGUGAAAUCCCCGGGCUUAACCUGGGAACUGCAAUUGAUACUGUAUGGCUAGAGUUUGGGAGAGGAUAGUGGAAUUUCCGGUGUAGCGGUGAAAUGCGUAGAUAUCGGAAGGAACACCAGUGGCGAAGGCGACUAUCUGGCCUAGAACUGACACUGAGGCACGAAAGCGUGGGUAGCGAAC